CAUCAACCCAGCUCUUGGUUUGAAAAACCACUCAGAGAAAUGGGAAGCUUUUACCAGCAUUGCACUGUUUAUUUGUUUAUCGCUUUUAUUUGGCCUCCCUAGGAUCAGCAACAGGAAUCUUGGUCCUUGUCUCUAUAUUGAGCGGAGAUGGGAUGGAAACAUUGGAGGGAGCUGAUGCCACUGGGGUAAUUUUCUCUGCAAGCUCAGGAGUCCUCACAGUGUCCCCCAGCAACAGCCCUAGGAGUCCCAGGAGAUGGUGAGGGAGGAGGCACCAGCCAGGGUUACAGUUUGUUCCUUCCAGUCAUCUUUCAUUUAGUGACCACUGAGGAAUGCGUCAGCACAACCAGCCUUGGAAACACGUCGAGUGGUGGAUUUUAUUCUGAAAACAAAGUUCUGCGCUGUUCUGCUAGUCCCAGCAGUGAUGGUGAACAAAUGAAGAGUUAUGGGUGGAAGAGUGAAAAAAAAAAAAUCCCUACUUGCCACUGUUGUGGGAGGAUCUAG
rnacentral:lncRNA from 1 species